UUUGCACCCUAACCCAAAGAUCCCACCAUGCCCGUGGUGUGAUGUUGCCUGGUGUGCACACACUAACGGGUCCUUGUCGCCUUUCUCUGACGCUGCCGUGACUCUGAAAGUGAAUCCAAGGGCCCACAUCU